ACCAGAAUUUGUCUUGGCCUAGUGGCGGUCUUUAUGCACUGGUCAGGGACAGACCUGAUCUGCUUCAGGUUCUGAGAAAUUGGGCCUUGUUGUGGCACUUGAGAAGGCGGGGUGUGUGUGUGUGUGUGACUGAGGACCCAGGAGAAGGCCUUUCUCAAGGUCACUCCCGGGCAUCCACAUGUCCCACACAGCUGCAAGCCUUGAUCCAAAGACUUUUCUACUUUAGAUCUGAGAGCCUUGCAAAGUUCUGCAGUUUGCUUUGGUUUGGAGAAGCAUCUGAACCUUCUUGGUAGAAGGCCUGGGUCUAGGAAUUGGGUCAGGCAUGGAAGGGACAUUGUUUCCCCUGCUGUGAGGGUCUCCAGGCCAUGCCUUCCCCAAUCUCGGCCCUGCAGGUCAAGUCCAAUGAGGACUGGUCUGGGGAGUUAGGUCAUGGUGAUGGGUUAGGUCAGGGAUGAGAACAGCCCCUGAUCCUAUUAAUCAGGCAGGGAGAGGGGCCUGCCAGUCAAUGUAGGCUGGUGCAGGUAAUUGGGUAUCCACCACAUACUCCUCUGUUAAGACCACAAUUUCCAUGACACAGCCGCUCUCUAAUGGAGCCUGUCAACUCAGAGCCUCAUAGCCCUGCGAAAGUAGGAUCCUGGGCGUUAACCGUGCCUUACCCAUGCAGGACACAGACGGCGGUUUCGAAGGGUACUUGGACUUGGCACCUAUCAGGCCCGCCAUCAAUUACUCGCAUGAGGUAUCGUAGGAUCCAAGCAAGCCUAUUGCUGAACCACAUAGGACAGCUGCUUCGGUACUCAGCUGACUUCAGGUUCAAUGAGAAGCUAGCCAUCUGCAACCCAACAAAAGCACCUUCGCUAGAACCAGACCAUGCUAACACCUUCACUUUGGACUGUCUAGUCUCCAGAACUGUGAAAAAAUAGACUUUUGGGUUGUUUAAGCCACCAGUCCAUGGUAUUUUGUUAUAACAGCCUGAGCAGACUAAGAUAUUUGUUACAUGAAUGUACUACAGCUUGCUUAACUAUUAUCCUAUUGAUAAAUACCCAGAUACUUUCCAGUCUUAGGCUAAUAUGAAUAAAGGUGUUAUUGAAUAUUUAUGCAAAAGUCUUUUGGGGACAUUUGCUUUCAUUCCUCUAGAGAAUAUACCUAGAAAAAUUGCUGGGUUGUAAGAUAAGUAUACAUUUAAUUUUAUAAAAAAGUACCCGUCCUUUUUCAAAAAGUUUGGCAUGUCCACCAACAAUAUAUGAGAGUUCCAGUUGCUC